rfam:Brassica napus, WGS project CCCW01000000 data, contig: 7651
UGAAAUCUCAAAGGAGUGUCAUGAGAACACAAAUCCUUUGGUUUCCUUAAAAUAUCCAUUGAAACUAUGGAGUUAUGUGUUCUCAGGUCACCCCUUCGAGUUCCUC